rnacentral:rRNA from 1 species
UACGGAGGGGGCUAGCGUUGUUCGGAAUCACUGGGCGUAAAGCGCACGUAGGCCGGCUGUUAAGUCGGGGGUGAAAGCCUGGAGCUCAACUCCAGAACUGCCUCCGAUACUGGCAGCCUUGAGUCCGAGAGAGGUGAGUGGAAUUCCCAGUGUAGAGGUGAAAUUCGUAGAUAUUGGGAAGAACACCAGUGGCGAAGGCGGCUCACUGGCUCGGUACUGACGCUGAGGUGCGAAAGCGUGGGGAGCAAACAGG